AAAGCAAGCCGUUCUAUCGCUGUUCAUUCUAAAUGGAGAGAGGAAAGUCCGGGCAACAUAGAGCAUCCUGCUUUCUAACGGAAAGGAUCCGGUUUACGGAGACGGAAAGUGCCACAGAAAAAAAACUACCUUAUGCGUUAUGCGAAUAAGGAAAAGGUGAAAACGUGAGGUAAGAGCCCACGGCUUUGAAUGGCGACAUUUAGAGCGGUAAACCCCAGGAGUUGAAAGACCAAAUAGGCUAACGCAUGUAGGGCUGCUCGUCCGAAGUUAGUGGGUAGGUCGUUAGAUCUCUGCAGUAAUGCAGAGACUGGAUAAAUGAUAGAAAUUCCGAUUUAAUCGGGAUACAGAACCCGGCUUACAGGCUUGUUUUUAUA
rnacentral:RNase_P_RNA from 1 species